AUAAGAAAAUUGAAGAACCAGAAGAAAAUGAUGAAUUUGUACUUCUUCAGGUGGAAUGUUGCACUAUUUUAAGAAAAUGUUGCACUAUUUUAAAAAAAAAUUACACUCUUUGAUAGAAAUAAUAUACUUUUUUAGAUAAAAGUUAUACUUUUGAAACAAAAGUUGUACUUAUUGAACGAAAAUUGCACUAUUUGGAUAAAAAAUAC
rnacentral:lncRNA from 1 species